UUGACUGGAUGCAGACAGACUACUCCAUCCCUAUGUUCAGUACAGUAGAGUGCAUGAGCAUUCUCAUCUGCCUUCCUCCCCUCUCCAUGAGCAUUCUCUCCCCUUACUCUGCCUUCUAGUAGAACAGGGGAGAAAACUGUGAACUCUCCAUACAGAACCAGCUCCUGGAGAAGAACCAAGUGUGGUGUGGUCUUGUCAGUCUGUUACCUAGCAAGAGUGACAAGAUCAUGUGGGACUCACCAGGCUUGGAGAACAGUUGCAUUCUCUCCAGCAAUGGAGAAGCGUGUCCCUUUGCUCACAGACUACCCACGUGGAGAGCUGAGAGGAGGUGACUGCUAUGUGAGAAACCUGCAGUGAGCAUUUCCUGAAAUCAGGACAGUUACAUGCUCAGCCUGGACCCUCUGCCUGUCUUUGUCUUUGAAGGUAAUAGAACUCUCAGCUACUUCUCCAACACCAUGUCUGCCUGCGUGCCACCAUGCUCCCUGCCGUGAUGGUAACAGACCAACCUCAGAACGUAUAAGCAAGGCACGUGAAUGCUUUCUUUGAUAAGAGUGGCC